CGGCACUCACCCCACCUGAUCUCAUAUCUCCCGUAGGUGCAGGAGGUCGGGCCUCCGAUCCCGGCGACAUGAGGGCUCGAUCUCGCCUGAUUCUGCGCCCGGCGGUGGCUCCUUUUGAUUCGAGAUGUGGUGCAGCGACUCCAAGCAGACGCUCAAGUCCCGGGGCGCCGGCGCGGCCGGGGCCACCAUGGGAAACGAGGAGUCCGACAACUUCUCGCCCACUCUGCACAAGGACUGGUCCAUGGGCCUGCUCAAGCUCGUCACCGCCACCGUCAUCUUCAUGGGCGGCGGCGUGCCGCGCUGGACUACUCCCUCCUCGACGUCAACAUCGGCUACUGCGACCAAGGUAUAUCUCCGAACUUGCGUGCCUCGGUGAGGUCGAUUCCAGGGAAGAGGGGCUUAAUUCGCAGUUCAUUGAGGUCGAUUCAAGGAGUAGGAGCUUGAUUCUCUGCUUGGCGAGGUCGAUUUGAAGGAGGAGUUCGAUUUCAAGAAGGAGAGCUCGAUUUAAGGCCAAGCAAGGUCAAUUAGAGGCGGAAGGAACUUGAUUUGUUGUUUGUUGAUAGUGCUGCCAACGCACGUGCCUCGCCGGCCGCGCCGCAUGUCCUCCUGCACUUAACCCUAGAUUUAACUGGAACCACUCUCAAGAACAAAUAAAAUGCUUGCUGUGGACCGAACUUUCAGAAAAUACUCCAUCCAUCCUAAUAUAUUGGCUACUUUGGAUUUUCAUAUAUCAAACUUGUAUUAUUAAAAACAGCACAUGACAGAAUAUUGGUACUACAUUGAUUUUUAUGCAUCAUUGCAUUUGCGCUAUUGAUUUGCAGGCACGCAUUUCGUUACUCCUAACUCCAAUACCAAUCAAAUAGUGGGUUCCUAUCUGCCUACUGGAAGAAAGAAACAUACAUGUCGCACAUAUCCAUCCACCAUCUUAUGAACUGUCUGUCCGUUUUUCUAUAAAAGCAUUAGUAGGCUGGUUCAUUGGUAUUCAUAUUUCUUUGUGCGAGAUGUGGUAAAAAUGAGGAUACAAUAUCUUGACCAACUUCGUUAGCUUUUUUAUAUAUAUAUCAGACUGGGACUAACCAAAUUCACAUUUGGAUUUGCCUUUGUGCUAUCUAAAAUGGUUCUAAUUAAGAGAACUUGCGAUUUUGUACAUAUUUAGAUAUUUCAACAUUUCAAAGAAACUUGAUUCAACAAUCUAACUAACAUAUUCAUAGGUCACCUUAAUGGUAAUUUUUUAGGGUAUUCGUUGUCCACUGGUUACUUUGUUUACCUGUGAGUCUGUGACUGCAUCUUGAACUCAUUUUCAGAAUUUACACCAGAUGUCUUCACUUCUUGAGAUGCUUGAUGAUCCAGAUGUACCCACCAGAGAGCUAGCCCUUUCUCUAUUGGUUGAAAUUCUUGAAAAGCACGUAGGCGUCUCUGAAAUUCCUUAACAGUGACUACUUAUUUCCUACAGGUGCCAUUAUUGAAUGUCAUCUUCCAUGAAAAUGACCCAUGUCUUGCCUUUUCCGUCCAGAGAAAGGCAAUGGAGAGCUGCAUCGAAAUUCUCAUAGUUAAAUUACUGCAUGCAACCAAAGACGCUGCCUUGAAGGUUGUAUAUUAGGCUCAUUUCUGCUUGAAAACUGUGGUCACACAAUUUGACCCACUGGGAUGCCAUUUUUGUUAGUGUUAUAUCUGUGAAUAUCUUUUGAACUGAAUCUGGUGGAAAAGGGCCUCUAACAACUGGUUGCUUGUCUUUUCCCCCACUUCCACUGUUCUUUUAAUUUGUUUCUAAGUAUUAUGAUUCCCUCUUGUAAAUAUGUAGGCCAUAUCUUCUCAAUUACCCUGCCAGGAUGAGAAAAUUAUUAUCAGCAUCAAUAGUUUGAGCAAGCUUGUGAAUCGAUUGUCACAGGAAAACCUCAUGGCUCAUUUGUCAACAUUUCUUCCUGCACUUCUGGAUGCUUUUGAAAACCACAGCCCAUAUAUCCGCAAGGUUGUUAAUCCACUCCUACUUUUUUCUACAGAUUCCGUCUUUAAUAAGGCACUAUCUUUUUGGGCACAUGUUCUUAUUGUACUUCAUCUCCUCGAAUUUACCUGUACCAAAAGGUUGUAGGAACAAUUAAGGGGUCAAUUAUUUAGGCCAUAAAGGAGCAUAAUAUGUAGAAGUUGAACUCAGCUUGAGCUUAUACAUUUGUCAAUUGGAGUCUGUUCCCUUGAAA